CCUACGGGAGGCAGCAGUAGGGAAUAUUGCACAAUGGGGGCAACCCUGAAGCAGCAACGCCGCGUGGAGGAUGAAGGUUUUAGGAUUGUAAACUCCUUUUGUGAGAGAAGAUAAUGACGGUAUCUCACGAAUCAGCACCGGCUCACUCCGUGCAAGCAGCCGCGGUCAUACGGCGGGUGCAAGCGUUACUCGGGAUCACUGGGCGGAAAGAGUGCGCAGGCGGGCUUGUAAGUCAGAUGUGAAAUCCGGUAGCUUAACUACAGAACUGCAUUUGAAACUAUGAGUCUAGAGUGUGGUAGAGGGAGGUGGAAUUCUUGGUGUAGGGGUAAAAUCCGUAGAUAUCAAGAGGAAUACUCAUGGCGAAGGCGACCUACUGGAACAUGACUGACGCUCAGGCACGAAAGUGUGGGGAGCAAACAGGAUUAGAUACCCCAGUAGUC
rnacentral:rRNA from 1 species